UACGGAGGGUGCAAGCGUUAUCCGGAUUUACUGGGUUUAAAGGGUGCGUAGGUGGGCAGUUAAGUCAGCGGUGAAAUCUCUGGGCUUAACCCAGAAACUGCCAUUGAUACUAUCUGUCUUGAAUAUCCUGGAGGUGAGCGGAAUAUGUCAUGUAGCGGUGAAAAUGCUUAGAUAUGACAUAGAACACCAAUUGCGAAGGCAGCUCACUACGGGGUUAUUGACACUGAGGCACGAAAGCGUGGGGAUCAAACAGG
rnacentral:rRNA from 1 species